UACGAAGGGGGCUAGCGUUGUUCGGAAUCACUGGGCGUAAAGGGCGCGUAGGCGGCUUUGUAAGUCGGGGGUGAAAGCCUGUGGCUCAACCACAGAAUUGCCUUCGAUACUGCAUGGCUUGAGACCGGAAGAGGUAAGUGGAACUGCGAGUGUAGAGGUGAAAUUCGUAGAUAUUCGCAAGAACACCAGUGGCGAAGGCGGCUUACUGGUCCGGUUCUGACGCUGAGGAGCGAAAGCGUGGGGAGCGAACAGG
rnacentral:rRNA from 1 species